UACAGAGGUCUCAAGCGUUGUUCGGAUUCAUUGGGCGUAAAGGGUGCGUAGGCGGCGCGGUAAGUCGGGUGUGAAAUCUCGGGGCUUAACUCCGAAACUGCAUUCGAUACUGCCGUGCUUGAGGCCGGGAGAGGUGAGUGGAAUUCCCAGUGUAGCGGUGAAAUGCGUAGAUAUUGGGAGGAACACCAGUGGCGAAGGCGGCUCACUGGACCGGUUCUGACGCUGAGGCGCGAAAGCGUGGGGAGCAAACGGG
rnacentral:rRNA from 1 species